AUUGAACGCUGGCGGCAUGCCUUACACAUGCAAGUCGAACGGCAGCAUGGAAGAGCUUGCUCUUCUGAUGGCGAGUGGCGAACGGGUGAGUAAAGCAUCGGAACGUACCGUGUAGUGGGGGAUAACGUAGCGAAAGUUACGCUAAUACCGCAUACGCACUGAGGUGGAAAGCAGGGGAUCGCAAGACCUUGCGCUAUACGAGCGGCCGAUGUCAGAUUAGCUAGUUGGUAGGGUAAAGGCCUACCAAGGCGACGAUCUGUAUCGGGUCUGAGAGGAUGAUCCGCCAAACUGGGACGGAGACACGGCCCAGACUCCUACGGGAGGCAGCAGUGGGGAAUUUUGGACAAUGGGGGAAACCCUGAUCCAGCCAUGCCGCGUGAGGGAAGAAGGCCUUCGGGUUGUAAAGCUCUUUCGGCUGGGAAGAAAUCGCACAGGCUAAUACUCUGUGUGGAUGACGGUACCAGCACAAGAAGCACCGGCUAACUACGUGCCAGCCGCCGCAGUAA
rnacentral:rRNA from 1 species